AUUGAACGCUGGCGGCAGGCCUAACACAUGCAAGUCGAGCGAGCGGCGGACGGGUGAGUACUGUCUGGGAAACUGCCUGAUGGAGGGGGAUAACUACUGGAAACGGUAGCUAAUACCGCAUACCAUCAGAUGUGCCUAGAUGGGAUUAGGUAGUAGGUGGGGUAACGGCUCACCUAGGCGACGAUCCCUAGCUGGUCUGAGAGGAUGACCAGGCACACGGGAACGGAGACAAGGUCCAGACUCCGACGGGAGGCAGCAGUGGGGAAGAUUGCACAAUGGGCGCAAGGCUGAUGCAGCCAUGCCGCGUGUGUGAAGAAGGCCUUCGGGGUGUAAAGCACUUUCAGCGGGGAGGCGUUACCCGCAGAAGAAGCACCGGCUAACUCCGUGCCAGCAGCCGCGGUAAUUC
rnacentral:rRNA from 1 species